GGAAAUGAGGGCGAUCUGGCUGCAACAUUUGUCACCCCGUUGAUGGCCAGGGUUGAUUUGGGUGAUCUGGCUGGCUAGGCGGGUGUCCCCUUCCUCCCUCACAGCUCCAUGUAUGUCUCUACUGCAGCUGCAUACUUGGUUGAAGAGGACGACCUUCCCUGAUAGAGGAGGACCAUUCUUUGGUCAAGGAUAUACCAGGAGCUGGACUUGCCUGCUAAAACCUCUGAACAAGCUCUCAAGUUCACUCCUUGUUCCUCCUAGGAGUCUUGGAAACAUUCAUUACAGCCUCAGAAUUCCUGGAGCCUGCUGUGU
rnacentral:snRNA from 1 species